rnacentral:miRNA from 1 species
UGCCUGUGUGUGUGUCUC